CCCUCAACUCUAUGUCUGGUACUCUAUCCACUACAAUACCUAGCUACCCCACUUUGAUUUCAGAUUGCUGUUGAGAAGAUACUGCAAGUUGCUUAACUCUGCCUCAGUUUCCUCACCUGUAAAAUGAACUGGAGAAGGAAAUGAUCCAGCUCAUGUGCAAGUCAAGACAUCACUCUCAGACCAUUGGUCCUUUCUGAAAAUGAAGAAAGAAUAACAAAGCAACGAGAAGUUAAGUGACUUGCCCAGGGUCACACAACUUAAGAAAGUCAUGGAGAAAAAGUUAAUAAUGCAGAUUAAAUCCACAAUCCUGUAAAGAGACCACAUAUAAUGAAUUCAAAUACCACAAAAUAGUUUUCUUAUACCCCUCCCUACAUCACAUACAUACCUGCCUAUCCUGAAUUUGCAGCAUG
rnacentral:lncRNA from 1 species